rnacentral:lncRNA from 10 species
AGACACUUGGCAGAGAGCUGUUGGAGCAGGCCAGCGGUGAGAUCAUUCGCGUGUCUUAGGUCCGGAUGGGCUGGAGCGCCAGGAUAGACCAGAAGUACAUGUAAUUCAGAUAGGACAAGAAGCCUUGUGGAGAGGAAGAGGGCACAGGAGAUGAGACACAGAGUUCACCCACCCAAUCCCAAUCACAGUCCUGUCCCCAGGCCCAAUUGCAUGCCCUGCUCUGCAUCAAACCCCAUCCCCAAACCUAUUCUUAAACCCAUCACCAAUUCCAUUCCAUACCCUAACCUAUUCCCAAACCCAUCUCCAAACCGAAACUCACCUUCAUCCCCUACACUGUCCCUAACCCAUACGCAAACUCCAACCCAGUCCCAUCCCCAUUAUCCAGCCCCAUGUGCAUCCCCAAUCCCGCCUCCCACUUCAGUCACUUCCUAUCUAGCCCUGUCCACAACCCCACCCCGUCCCAAAUGCUAUCCCAAAUGCUAUUCCUGUCUGCAUCCCUGAACCCAUACCCAAAGCCAACCUCAUCCUCUCCCAUACCAGUCAUCAGGAAGAGGAAGACACUGGCCCAGGUCAGGUAGAAGCUGAGUGCCAGCUGGUAGGUCAUGCCUUCCUGCAGGUACCUGUGGGCCUGCAGCAGGUAGAACAGGAUACCCAGUACGAUGCUGGUUCCUGCAUGAGCACAGGUGUUAGGAGGCUGAGAAUCAGAUAUGUAAGGACUCCUUCCCAUAGUCAUGUGGCUGCCUGGCUCUGGCUCAUUAUUUCCCCACUUUCUUUAACCUCCCAGACCCUGUACCUUUGCUCCUAAGCAUGAAGAUGGGCUUCUGACCAAGUCCUGCUAGAGGACACUGAAAGGGCAAGCCUUGGGCUUUAACCAGGCAAUGUUCUCAUCCAUAUGAGCAAGGGCUUCAUGUUACUGGCCGUGGCCCUGUGCUGAGUCCUCCUCCCGCCCAUGGCCCUCUCCUCCUGGCCAGUGGUCCUCCGCCUGAACAUGGCCGACUUUGUCUUCAGUUUCCUCUGCCUCGGCAUUGGGCUCCUGAUUUCUCUUCAGCCUGACGCUCUUUUCAGUUAACGGCAAGGCGGUGCACCCAAGUCCGGUGGUGUCCUACCUGGUGACCUCCUACCUGUGCUGGGACGCCAGCGACUUGAUGCUGCACUCCGUAGGGUGGGACUCGGAGUACAGCGGCCCACCUAGCCAUCUCCCAGGAGCCGUGUCCUACCUAAGCCCAGUGGGCAUGUGAAGCAGAGGGCAGCCCUUGAAUGCGCGGCGGCUGAGCUACCGCGGGUGGGCCGUGCAGCAGGGCGCAGCGAGGCGGACAUCCAAACAGCGGAACUCAGACGCUGACUCCGAGCGCACCCCGGGCCUUCCCAUUUCAUACACCCUCGAGGAUGAGACCCAAGCACCUCCAAGGAAUAGCACCCGAGGUCUUCAGGACACCGACCGGUAGCCAUGGCCAGAUGCCCGGCCAACCCCUUCAGCGUGGCCACGCCCUGGAUAUUCGACCUCCCCUGAGGCCCCACCCCCUGAUAUCAGGCCACGCCCUCCGAGGGGACCGGUGGCAAACUCCAGCCCUCGCUCUAGGGCCCGCCCUUUGCGGCUUUGUCCCUGCCCACUGGGUCCUCACAGUACCUCCACCCCAGAGGCCCAGCAUCCCCUCCCGUUCUGCAGACACUUGUCCAGCGUCCCGCUGAGCUCGGCAGUGUGGCUAGUUUGUGUGGCCCUGCCCCUGGUGCCCAGCCAGGGUGGUCUGCAUGGAACUUCUUUCCCGGAGUUCCGGCCUCAGCUCCGAUGUCCACCCUUGUCCCCAGGUGGACACAGCACCGCCCAGCAUUUGGUGCAACUCCACCCUUCUGCAGAACGGGCCCCUCCCUGGGAAGGCAUGGCUUGCAAUAACAUCCCUCUGUACCUUUUCUGGCUUCCCCGCCACAAUAAAACCUCUCAGCCUCAGACCUUCCAUUGCCCCCCACCUCCCCACCAGGGCAGGGUCCAUCCUAGUGUGAGUGAACUGUUCUGGCGUCCCUGACUUGCCCUUUGGGA